rnacentral:ncRNA from 1 species
GAUCUUCAGGGCAGGGUGGGAUUCCCUACCGGCAGUUAUAGCCUGCGAGCCGCUCAGCGGCUGAUUCGGUGCAACUCCGAAGCCGACGGUAUAGUCCGGAUGAAAGAAGAUA